GACGAACGCUGGCGGCGUGCUUAACACAUGCAAGUCGAACGGAAAGGCCCAAGCUUGCUUGGGUACUCGAGUGGCGAACGGGUGAGUAACACGUGGGUGAUCUGCCCUGCACUUCGGGAUAAGCCUGGGAAACUGGGUCUAAUACCGGAUAGGACGAUGGUUUGGAUGCCAUUGUGGAAAGUUUUUUCGGUGUGGGAUGAGCUCGCGGCCUAUCAGCUUGUUGGUGGGGUAAUGGCCUACCAAGGCGUCGACGGGUAGCCGGCCUGAGAGGGUGUACGGCCACAUUGGGACUGAGAUACGGCCCAGACUCCUACGGGAGGCAGCAGUGGGGAAUAUUGCACAAUGGGCGCAAGCCUGAUGCAGCGACGCCGCGUGGGGGAUGACGGCCUUCGGGUUGUAAACUCCUUUCGCUAGGGACGAAGCGUUUUUGUGACGGUACCUGGAGAAGAAGCACCGGCUAACUACGUG
rnacentral:rRNA from 1 species